CCUUUCUUAUCGUCUCUAUCAGCAUGUGGGCUCUAUCAGCAUGUGGGUGUGCUGUCAUUAGCACCCUGAGAGCACAACUGAACAAAACUGUAGCCCAGGGCAUUGAAAACCUCUCGGAGAGGGCCAGGUGUGACCAGGUACUGGGGAAAAAAUAAGAAGCUGCCAUCAGUUGAGAAGAUGGCCCUGGCAACUGGCUAUCAACUGAAAAUCCUGCAAAAGGAUAUUUCUCCUGUGAAGCAGCCCUGUGCCCAUCCUGCUGUGAUUCAGGAGUCUCGCAGAAGACAUCAGAAUGCCUUUCUCUGAGUCACAGUCUGUAUCUUCUAGAAAAGGCUGUCCAUCUUCACCCCAAGCCCACUGGCUCCUGAGAUACGACAUCCAGACCCAGUGCAGCUGGACCUGGCCCAGGAAGAUCAUGCGGUUUCUGGGAAGCACUGGAGAAGGAAAAGGCUGAAGAAAGGAAGACCGGAAAAGAAAUACAAGUCCUUCCGCCUUGGCAAAGAUGAUAGUACCGUUCCCUUCAGUGUUCCGGUUCUGCUCUAUUGGAUAAGUUCCGGUUUGACUAUGACUACGUGAAAAUGUGGAACCAGACCUUCACCCCACAUUCCAGCUCCAGCUCUACCACAGAGGAAGUGCAAUAUCACCUUAGUUAUUCAACACAUUAUGCUCCUCGUGAUACAACCAGAGUUCACAUCAGCAAUCUUGGCAGCUCUCACCACGCUGCUGACUCACGACUCUCUCAUGUCCCAAUUUCCUGUCCAUUGUUCUUUCCUCUACUUGGCCUGAUUUCUAAAGGCCUCUCUUGGUUGCAUUAAGCGGGAUUCCUGAGGGAUUCCCUUGGCAGUUACCUUGGGGGAGCUCUUAGGUUUGGGGCUGAUCCAUGUCCUCUAAAUGUAGGACUUCAAAGCUCCCAAAGAUAGGCAGGCCCAGUGGGAAGCUGGGAAAUGCUCUCUGACCCCUCUGGGAGGGCUGGCAGUCAGAGGGCCUUUUGGAAAGAGUCAGACCUGAUCCAUAAGUCCCUGGAAAACACCCUGCCCAGGGAGCAAAUGCCACUGUGGCCUUGACUGAGGCUUCAGAAGAGUUUGGGAGCUGCAAUUCAUCCACACACGCAUUCAUUUUCAAGUAGUGGUUUGCAGUUCAGGCUUUGGAGCCACAUAAGCCUGGCUUCAAAGCCACUUUCCAGCUUUGUAGGAAGUCUCUACAUUUUUAAACCUCCAUUUUUUUUUCCUGUAAAACUGGGGUCUUCAUGGUACUUAACUUCAUCGUGAUGUUGAGAGAAUGAAAAGAAAAAGGAUAAAUAAAUGGCUUAGCCUCGUGCCUUGGCACAUAUUGUGA
ensembl:lncRNA LINC02777 long intergenic non-protein coding RNA 2777